UCAUUUGGAGGCAACUGGGACUGUGAGGAUAGCGCCUGGGGGAGCAGCCCCAGCCCCAGCAGCACGGUGUUCACCAGGACCAGAGUAUUCUGCCAAAAAUGAGAUACUGUCCUGUAUCAAAACCCAAUUCUAGCUUCUGCCGAGUCUGACCAGUCUUGGGUCUUGAGCCAGAAUGAUUUUUUGGGAGGAAAUUCCACAUUUGGGAGGGAAAGGAUGAAGUAGUUAUAAAAGGGUCAGCUUGCCAGAUGAAAAAAAAGAGGCAGUUAUAUGAACAGAAUGGAGGAAAGCAUUUCCUGGGUCACUGAGUUUUGUCCGGAGCUACCUAAAGGAACUAAUUCCCACAUCACCCUUCACCAAGCGACCAAGCUCUUGCAGAAGGCAGAAGCAUGAGCAUCACCCCAACACCACUUUCCCCUCUGAGAAGGUGCAACGUUCAAUGCAGCAUCGCUGAAAUGCACACACCAGGGCUGAACUGCAGCUCUCCCAUCCCUCAGCACACCGGGGCUAUCUGCGCCUCCUGCCCACUCAUCUUCCUGCACUGGCCACACCAACCCGCUCCAGCCUUGCCAAGUGAUAAACCCUUGGCCUCUCACAUUCAUCUGGCCGAUAAGGUGAGCCACGAAUACAUCUUAUUUUGUGUUGUUUGUUUUUCCUUCCCCCCUUUUCCUGCUCCCAUUUUCGGUCAGCACCUGUCACUGCAGCCCUGACUCUCGCGGCUCUCUCCUGAGGGCCGGCGGUUUAUCGGAGGAAACACUCGCGCUCACAGGGAUGGCCUCCGCACCGCGGCCGAUUAAUCCGAGUUGAGUGCACUUCCUUCGGCCAGAGGACACCAAUUACCGCGAAGGCACCGGCAGCACAAUGCAGGCGAACAUCUGACAGCCCGGGUCCUGCCAGCUCCGCAUUGUCCUCCCGUCAGGCGCUGUCAGUUCCCAGCCUUAAUUACAUCCUGUUUACAAACACUCGGCCGGACUUCAGAUGGAGCCUUAACAAAGGUUGACAAAGGUCAGGGCCACGUCACGGGAUGUUAUCUGUCUGUGUGCUCGGGCAGAUAAACUAGGGGGCUGAUUUCGGAGAUAGCACGGGGAACGCGCCAGGGCCAUGAGAAUGUCAGAGGUGUUGGGGUCGGAGGUGUUGGGGUUGGAGGUGUUGAGGUCCCAGCACCAGGAUGGCUUGAACCAUUCUUGAGCAUAACUGCCUUAUUUUGUUAUUCUUUAACCAACCAACUAAGAACAUUCCAUAAAUCACUUUCCUACUUUUUUCUUCUUCUAGAGAUAGGGGAAAAUAAUGUUCGCUGCAACCUGUUGAUGUUCAGUGUGAACAAAAACCCAAAAAGGAAAAAAAAAUAGGAAGCAUUUUGAAAUUUACAGCUGGGUUUCCUUGCAUGGGAACGAGGAAACCAGGCACCUCUGUAAGCCAACGCUCCAGUAUCAUCUUUCUCCAUCUUAAGAUAGAUGAGCACUGACAUGAACUGAAUCUCAUCCAAAACUCAAGGUAUAGGAGUACUUAUAGGAGUAGUAGAGCAGCUGGAUCAAUCUAAACACUUGAUAUAUCAAAGCUGUUAACUUAGGAGCUUGUCACCCAGACCCAUCUCAUUGUAUCUAGUCAGUUAUUCACACACCAUGAUUCACAAACCCCAACUGCACAGGACCACACAGCAAUAGCCAAUGAAAUUGAAAACCCAGUUUGUUGCCAUAUCACCGCUCUCUGAGGAAAUACUGGAAUAAUUACAUGGUCACAGUCAGUAAAAGAGGACUGCUGUCAUAGCAUCAUGCUUCUGCAGAGCUGUGCAAUGGGCAGCAGAGGCUGUGUCGGUUGUUCUGAGCUAAUGGCAGAGUGCUGGGCAUCAGGAUCCAUCCAGGAUCUUCAGGAUGAACUAGCAAAUAUUUCUGGUGGUGAGAAUGCAUCUGCCUGCCCAUAAAGGAAAGGGACUUACAUGUUUCAUUACUUGAAACAAAGAAAAAAAAUCCUUAAAUUUUAGGGUCAGAUUUUGAUUGUUUUUGGUGAGAAAUGUAAAUAUCAAAUAAUGGUAACAUUUACUCUGACCAUGACCAUGGCUUCCCAGGGAUCAUCUUACAAUUUUGAAUAUUGUCACCUGUACUUAGUUAUCCAAAGUACCACUUAAAUUUAAGCCUUUACUUUCAUAAAUAAAUGGCAAAGCUAAGGCUAUCUCUUAUUUAUGUAUCAAUUGCUAAAAAUCCAGGAAAAAAUUGAUAUCCCACCUGAAAGAGUUUCCAGCUGGGGGCUGGAUGCUAUAGAAAAGCAAAUCCACAGUCCAGCACUAAGUCAGUACAAUUACACUUAGCUAAUCAAAACAAUUACUCUCAGUGAAAGGAAAUUCAAAAUUACAUUCUAUCAAGAAAAGGAGUGGAAAGGAUGACUUGCUGGAAAGGUUUAAAAUAUUUGACAAUCCAAAGUGUAGAAAAGUUGAAGGUUUAAAUAAAGUCUGCAAGCUCACUGCUGAUUACAUACACUCAGAAAUAUUCCUGGCUGGUCCUGAGCAUUUCUGCUGUGCCUGCACUGAGCUAUUCUUACAAAGAGGUGGAGCAUGGUGACCCUUGGGUGCAGAAGGAAACCUCAGCCACCCCGUCAGAGCGGGUACAGCUCAAGCCCCCAGUAACAAAUCACUCAGUAACAGAAUGAAGUGGGCACUGGAUGAGGUACUUUUUUUCCGAAAACAUCGGUUUUUGGUCAGAAAAAUUAGGAGGAAUGAAAGAAUGAAGGCUGAUUUUUGGAGAAUGGCAUUCCCCUCCAGGCAGUGGCUUUGCCUUCCCCAGAAAGCUGGGCUGUGCUGCUGCAGGAGAGCCUCGCCAAGGCAAUCAGACGCAGAUCUGCAGUUCAUAAAGCAGGCUCUUCUUUGCUCAGCUUUGUGACUUGUCGGCCUCAGUAUGCCUCUUGUUCCAGACAACGUGCCAGUCAGCUGCUGUUACUGCAAAGCUGUGCUGAAUACUUCUUAAUUAGCCCAAUUUCCUAUGGAUUGGCCUAGUUUUCUACCGAGGAACAGCCUUGGGAGCUGUGUAGCCCUGUAUCUGGAAAAAUCUGGUCCUUAACACGCAAACCCAGUUCGGCACAUCCUAUUUUCUCUAACGCUGCCCAGCAGGAUCAAUUUUAUUAGUACUGUAGUACCAUCCUGCCCAGCAGCCAGCUCCAGCAUGCUGGGUGCAGAGCUGGAGGUCCUGUGCACUGCACAGCUCCAUGCCCACCUGUAGCAUGAAGACAGAUCUUGUCCUUGAACCCAAGGCUCAUCACCUCCGUGCACCAGACAUGAGUCAGAACACAAAUAAAACUGAUCACAUACGUUCUAUUUAUUUGCUCAAAUUCACAGGCUUUUCAUGCAUGUAAACCGUCUUCUGUUGCAUUGGUUGUGCAGCACAACAUUACUGGUUUCAUUUGAGUUUACCCUAACUUAAACCAGAAAGAACUCUACCCUCUUUUUUUACUAUUUUCAUUACAUCAUCAUACCCUCUAUUUUCCUGCAUUCUGUUCUCUCUUUUUAUAUUUUUUUUGUCCUUUAAAGUCUGCCUAACAUUUUAUGGACAUCUUCCUUGCAGCUUCCAGAAGGGUGCUCCAUCUUAAACUCGACAGCAAGGCUGACAGAUGGGCUUGAUAGUUUUUUUCUUUUGCAAGUAAUAAAAAAGGAACAUUACACUUCACACGAAACCAGAGCACUGCCUCGAAACAACAGUGUUUGCUUGGCUAUAAAAAUAGUUACUGUUCUGCCAGGCCCAGAAUCAAAGCAUUUGUAUUAAUGUGUUUCCUCUUUUAAUAAAUAAAUCCAAUAUUUUAAAAUUU